rnacentral:rRNA from 1 species
CCUAACACAUGCAAGUCGAGCGGUAGCACAGAGAGCUUGCUCUCGGGUGACGAGCGGCGGACGGGUGAGUAAUGUCUGGGAAACUGCCUGAUGGAGGGGGAUAACUACUGGAAACGGUAGCUAAUACCGCAUAACGUCGCAAGACCAAAGUGGGGGACCUUCGGGCCUCAUGCCAUCAGAUGUGCCCAGAUGGGAUUAGCUAGUAGGUGGGGUAACGGCUCACCUAGGCGACGAUCCCUAGCUGGUCUGAGAGGAUGACCAGCCACACUGGAACUGAGACACGGUCCAGACUCCUACGGGAGGCAGCAGUGGGGAAUAUUGCACAAUGGGCGCAAGCCUGAUGCAGCCAUGCCGCGUGUGUGAAGAAGGCCUUCGGGUUGUAAAGCACUUUCAGCGGGGAGGAAGGCGAUAAGGUUAAUAACCUUAUCGAUUGACGUUACCCGCAGAAGAAGCACCGGCUAACUCCGUGCCAGCAGCCGCGGUAAUACGGAGGGUGCAAGCGUUAAUCGGAAUUACUGGGCGUAAAGCGCACGCAGGCGGUCUGUCAAGUCGGAUGUGAAAUCCCCGGGCUCAACCUGGGAACUGCAUUCGAAACUGGCAGGCUAGAGUCUUGUAGAGGGGGGUAGAAUUCCAGGUGUAGCGGUGAAAUGCGUAGAGAUCUGGAGGAAUACCGGUGGCGAAGGCGGCCCCCUGGACAAAGACUGACGCUCAGGUGCGAAAGCGUGGGGAGCAAACAGGAUUAGAUACCCUGGUAGUCCACGCUGUAAACGAUGUCGAUUUGGAGGUUGUGCCCUUCAGGCGUGGCUUCCGGAGCUAACGCGUUAAAUCGACCGCCUGGGGAGUACGGCCGCAAGGUUAAAACUCAAAUGAAUUGACGGGGGCCCGCACAAGCGGUGGAGCAUGUGGUUUAAUUCGAUGCAACGCGAAGAACCUUACCUGGUCUUGACAUCCACAGAACUUAGCAGAGAUGGUUUGGUGCCUUCGGGAACUGUGAGACAGGUGCUGCAUGGCUGUCGUCAGCUCGUGUUGUGAAAUGUUGGGUUAAGUCCCGCAACGAGCGCAACCCUUAUCCUUUGUUGCCAGCGGUUAGGCCGGGAACUCAAAGGAGACUGCCAGUGAUAAACUGGAGGAAGGUGGGGAUGACGUCAAGUCAUCAUGGCCCUUACGACCAGGGCUACACACGUGCUACAAUGGCAUAUACAAAGAGAAGCGACCUCGCGAGAGCAAGCGGACCUCAUAAAGUAUGUCGUAGUCCGGAUUGGAGUCUGCAACUCGACUCCAUGAAGUCGGAAUCGCUAGUAAUCGUAGAUCAGAAUGCUACGGUGAAUACGUUCCCGGGCCUUGUACACACCGCCCGUCACACCAUGGGAGUGGGUUGCAAAAGAAGUAGGUAGCUUAACCUUCGGGAGGGCGCUUACCACUUUGUGAUUCAUGACU